rnacentral:rRNA from 2 species
UGAGGGGGGCUGCUCCUAGUACGAGAGGACCGGAGUGGACGCAUCACUGGUGUUCGGGUUGUCAUGCCAAUGGCACUGCCCGGUAGCUAAAUGCGGAAGAGAUAAGUGCUGAAAGCAUCUAAGCACGAAACUUGCCCCGAGAUGAGUUCUCCCUGAGACUUAGAGUCUCCUGAAGGAACGUUGAAGACGACGACGUUGAUAGGUCGGGUGUGUAAGCGUAGCGAUACGUUGAGCUAACCGGUACUAAUGAACCGUGAGGCUUAACCUUACAACGCCGAAG